UGGUUCUGGCAUCGAUGAAGAACGCAGCGAAAUGCGAUAAGUAAUGUGAAUUGCAGAAUUCAGUGAAUCAUCGAAUCUUUGAACGCACAUUGCGCCCACUAGUAUUCUGGUGGGCAUGCCUGUUCGAGCGUCAUUUCAACCCUUAAGCCCCUGUUGCUUAGCGUUGGGAGCCUACAGUCCCCUGUACCUCCCUAAAGUUAGUGGCGGAGUCGUCUUACACUCUGGACGUAGUAGAUUCUAUCUCGUCUAUGGUUACGCCGGCCCCUUGCCGUAAAACCCCCCCUAAUUUUACAAGGUUGACCUCGGAUCAGGUAGGAAUACCCGCUGA
rnacentral:misc_RNA from 1 species